GAACACAUCUUGAAAUGGUGAGUGGAAAGAGGUGGAAAAUGGCCAUAAAGUUCAAGUUUCAUGGCUGCAAAAUGGUUGGGCCAGUUUGGCCUAAAUACUGUCAAAAAAAAUCAGCCUAUGAUACCAACUUUAGAUGAGUGUAUCUUCCAAACCAAUGAUAAAAAUGGGGUGGUUCUAAAAAGGUGUGAAAGAGGACAUAUCAAGGUAC
rnacentral:lncRNA from 1 species